rnacentral:rRNA from 1 species
AACGAACGCUGGCGGCAUGCCUAACACAUGCAAGUCGAACGAGACCUUCGGGUCUAGUGGCGCACGGGUGCGUAACGCGUGGGAACCUGCCCUUAGGUUCGGAAUAACUCCCCGAAAGGGGUGCUAAUACCGGAUAAUGUCUUCGGACCAAAGAUUUAUCGCCUUUGGAUGGGCCCGCGUUGGAUUAGCUAGUUGGUAGGGUAAAAGCCUACCAAGGCGACGAUCCAUAGCUGGUCUGAGAGGAUGAUCAGCCACACUGGGACUGAGACACGGCCCAGACUCCUACGAGAGGCAGCAGUGGGGAAUAUUGGACAGUGGGCGAAAGCCUGAUCCAGCAAUGCCGCGUGAGUGAUGAAGGCCUUAGGGUUGUAAAGCUCUUUUACCCGGGAUGAUAAUGACAGUACCGGGAGAAUAAGCUCCGGCUAACUCCGUG